rnacentral:rRNA from 1 species
UACGUAGGGGGCAAGCGUUGUUCGGAAUUACUGGGCGUAAAGGGCUCGUAGGCGGCCAACUAAGUCAGACGUGAAAUCCCUCAGCUUAACUGGGGAACUGCGUCUGAUACUGGAUGGCUUGGAUUCGGGAGAGGAAUGCGGAAUUCCAGGUGUAGCGGUGAAUUGCGUAGAUAUCUGGAGGAACACCGGUGGCGAAGGCGGCAUUCUGGACCGACAUUGACGCUGAGGAGCGAAAGCCAGGGGAGCAAACGGG